rnacentral:rRNA from 1 species
UACGUAGGGGGCAAGCGUUGUCCGGAUUUAUUGGGCGUAAAGAGCGUGUAGGCGGCCAGACAGGUCCGUUGUGAAAACUGGAGGCUUAACCUCCAGACGUCGAUGGAAACCGUCUGGCUAGAGUCCGGAAGAGGAGAGUGGAAUUCCUGGUGUAGCGGUGAAAUGCGCAGAUAUCGGGAGGAACACCAGUGGCGAAGGCGGCUUCCUGGCCUGUUCUUGACGCUGAGGCGCGAAAGCUAGGGGAGCAAACGGG